UUUUAUUCAUUUUUUUUAAUUUAAUUUAAUUUUUUUAAAUUUUUUUUAAAAACCAAACCUGGAAGGCAGG
rnacentral:ribozyme from 14 species